UAGCUCCCGUCCCAGCCGCCACCAACUGCCCCCUCGUCGCCUCCCCCUCCCCUUCCCCCUCUCACCACCCACUGAACAAGCAGCUUAUUCACCGCGGCUUGUUUGUCGAUCCUCAGUGUUGAAUCAGGCUCGCUCGCAAGAUGAAGCGGCUGUAUGUGAAUCUGGUGACGCGGAAUUGGGAGAGUGGGAUUUAUGCACUGCGCCGCCUCAAUCCCGAUGUGCACCUCUUCUACCAGUCAAGAAAUGACGCAAAAGAAGUACUCCCUCCGUUCCAAAAUAGAUGACCCAAUUUUGUACAAAGUUAGUACAAAGUUGGGUCAUCUAUUUUGGAACGGAGGGAGUAGCAGAGAUCAACACGAUGGAUUCUGCAGCAGAUGAUAGCAUCAAGAUGAAAUCAGCAGCAGAUGCGAACAACAAGACCAAGAGAUCCAGUCCAAGGAUGCAUAGCCUGCGGCAGCUGCCUAAACCAAUCGCCAAAUUCGAUCCGUCACCGUCCGGCCUGUGGAUCAAUGACGGCCUGGAGUGGUUCGAGCUCCUGGGCCCCCGCCGCAGCGAAAGCAGGGUCGUCAACGCCAACGUGGCCGGCGACACCGUGCUAUACGACGCCGACGAGGGCAUCAUCCUCAACUUGCCUUCGCUCCACGAGCCCAAGGGAACCAACCCCGUCUGCCUCUCAAUCACCCACCCCGACGCUGAGGAAGACGCUCUCUAUGUCAUGGACCGCUAUCCCGGCCGGGCCCUUGCGCGGCGUAACACUGGCGGUCCUGGCAUGCACUCCUGCUUCGAGGUGCUCGAGUGCAGGCCCAGCUCCAGAUUUCUGGACGACAGCAUGAAGGGGUGGGGUUGGCGGCCUCUCCCGCCGCCGCCCUUCAUCUACGAGCAUGGGUAUGAACCCACCAGGAUCAUGUCCUACACAGUUGUUGGCGAUGGAACUACCUUGUGCAUCUCGUCAGAUAGGAAUGGCAUCGGGACCUACUGCUUUGACACAGUGCGCGCCGAUGAUACCCACCGCUUAGGGUGGGAUUACCGGGAUGAAUGGAGGCACGUUGGGAAUUGGGCGCUGCCCUUCUACGACAAAGCAGAGUAUGUCCCUGAAUUCAAGCUAUGGUUUGGCUUCAGUCCCCCCAGGCCAAACCACCUGUGCGCCGUUGACCUGUCCACCAUGGACCAUGGCCAACCGCCCAUUGUGCAUCAUGUUUGGGAAGAUCUUGAUCAGCCUGAGGAAGAGGACUGGGUACCAACGCAUUUCAGGAUACUGAACCUUGGCUCUGGCAAGUUUUGUGUUGCUAAAAUCAUUAGCGCAGGGGCAACUGGCAUGAAAUUUUCGGUGCUCACUGGCAUCGAGAUGGUGCACGACAAAGAUGAUCAGAGCCUCCGGAUGUUCAAGCACAAGAGUAAACGCUACAUGUUCAGCACGCCAGAUGUAAUCCACUGGGUUAUCUGAAUAAUCUUGCAUGGUGUGCCAUGUUCACUGCCCUAUGGAUGGUGUGUGGCAAUGCUGGCCUGAGCCUUCCGAUCCCCAAGCACACGUUGCAUCAUUCACUAGGUGCAUUGAAUAAUCUAUUAGUACUACUUUUGUUAUGCAUUCCGUUUUAUUAUGCAUGCUUCUAGUCUAUUUCCUGUUUGUAAGAUAUUAUUUGGACAAUGCCAUUAGCCUGCUUGUUUAUGCCAAGUGGGGGGAUUUUCUGAAUCUACACAUGUUACUAGAUGAUCAUGCCG
rnacentral:rRNA from 1 species